AUUGAACGCUGGCGGCAUGCCUAACACAUGCAAGUCGAACGAGUGGCGCACGGGUGAGUAAUGUCUGGGACACUGCCCGAUGGUGGGGGAUAACUACUGGAACCGGUAGCUAAUACCGCAUACCAUCGGAUCUGCCCAGAUGGGAUUAGCUAGUAGGUGGGGUAAAGGCUCACCUAGGCGACGAUCCGUAGCUGAUGUGAGAGGAUGACCGGCCACACUGGAACUGAGACGUGGUCCAGACUACUACGGGAGGCAGCAGUGGGGAAUAUGGCACAAUGGGGGGAAGCCUGGUGCAGCCGUGGCGCGUGUAUGAAGAAGGCCUUCGGGUUGUAAAGUACUUUUAGCGGGGAGGCGGUAGCCGCAGAAGAAGCACCGGCUAACUACGUGCCAGCAGCCGCGGUAAUAC
rnacentral:rRNA from 1 species